UGUCAUCUUGUAAACACUUAUUGAGUUUUUUUCAAUGAAAUAUUUUAUAUUGCUGUUUGCUUUUUUGUGUUUUUAUAUCAGGAAGUUAGAUUGUAAUAUGCUUAAAAACGAAUGUCCUCAUGAUGAGAUCUACAAGUCGUGUUCAUUCUACGAGGAGUAUACAUGCUGGCAGACGGCGGAACGCAACAGCAGGGUUAAGACUAUUCCUAAGCGGCUACCACACUGCAGAGCUGGAUGUUACUGCAAGAAAGGUUUGGUGCGAGCGUAUCCUCAGAGCGGGUGCGUGCUCUCUGUUAUGUGUAGACAUCAAGGAUUGCAAGAUCUACUUGAAAAGUUAACAUCAUCUUUUAGGGCUUUUCAAUAAUAUGUUCACAAAUAUAUUUGCUGCUUCAAGUCCGUCUGUGUCAUCGAUAGGAAGAAAGUAUACAGAGUGUUCUUAGUCGAAGCAAAUCAGUAUAUUUUCAGUUAAACUAAAUCUUACUAAUAUUAAAAAUGCGAU